UCCCAUCUUCAUUUGUUCAAUCAGUCAUACCAAUGUAGAAACGAACGGACCACGAAGGAACGAAACUGAUGAACGAAGGCUCACGGCGAUAAAGAAGUUUCCGGGGUUCGACGAGACCGAAGCGACGAAGGGGACGAAGCCGUGAGUUGUCUUCGUUCUCGUCCAUCUGCGAGGUGUGAAGGAAAGCAAGAAGUUGGUCCGAUGGUUUUGUCUAUCGAUCGCGAAAAAGGAACGUCCCCGAGGAUCGAUGAGGCCGAAGAGAAGGAGUGAAGAGCAGCGAGGGAUUUCGUUUGUCUUGGUGGUUACAGCGAGGCGCCGCUCAAGCAAGCUCUCGACUGCUUGCUUCUUCUCCGGCAGUGGAUCGCGAAGGGAAAGGUGAAGGUUCAAGUGCAGAUAGUUCGGUGAUUGGAGGUCAAUCGCAAGAAGGAAAAAAAGAAGCAGAAAGGAAAAUGGAGAAAUAGAACUUAGAUGGGUGUUUUUGGGUUUGAUUUUUGACAGGGGAAAGAACGAGGGGGAGGAGGAGGGAUGUACAGUCGCUUGUUCUUCUUCUUCUUUGGCUGAAGAUCCAUAAACGGGAAGGAAAGAAGAAGAUAUCAUUUUUUGGAUAGAUUUCAAAGUCUGAUCGUAUCAUAUUUUACAUGAUUUUUAUUGUACAACAUUUGGCUAUGAAUGAAAAAGAGUGUUUGUGUUUAAAA